GGGUUCAAUUUUUCUCAUUUGAAAUUUCAUAAAUAAAAAGAAAAUUUCUUCAAACAUUUUUUUGAGAGGAUUAAUAUUCAACAGCAUAGUGAAUUGCUCUAAGAGAAAACAAAAAAUUUUAAGUUCAUUUGAACACAUUCAUUCUGUGUCGGAAACCUAUGCUGUGUCAACUAUUUAAUCACAAUCCAAAUUUAGAGCUGAAUCCAGCUUGAAUGUUGUGUCCAUACUUGCCCCA
rnacentral:lncRNA from 1 species